ACCUGAGCCCAUAGUUAGCUGCCUCACUGACUGAGCCCCCAGGCGGCCCCAGACUUUCUGUUUUAAAAUGCAAUCAGCCCUUUGAGGCAAGUGGGUGGAACAAAACCUCGAGAGGGAGCGCCGGAAUCCCAAAAGCUCUGUGUGUGAUCCAGCGCCCCGAGAAAGAGCAAGAAUUCGCACCACAAGCGUGACAUCACCCCGUGGGACACCAAAUGACAGAAGAUUCGAGAAAGCCACAGGAACCGGCGAGGGGACCCAGCGGGAGAGAAAACCUCGUCCACAGGGGGAGGGAGAAAGCGGUACUUAAGGACAAGCCUGACCCCGAAUGUGCAGCGUCUACAGGAGAUCUACGUUUCUCACCCUUCGGAGAGCCCGCCCUGCCACCCGGAACGGACGCGCAGACACCCCGAGCGCCUGGACAUGAGGACUCACGGCAGCGGACAACGCCAGCUCUCUAACCUGGAGAUUUUUAAAUUUAGUGUGAUUUCCAUAAAAAUAAUAACUGGUUUUCUUUGUGAA